GAUGAACGCUGGCGGCGUGCCUAAUACAUGCAAGUCGAACGAGAGCCUUUGUAGCAAUACGAAGGUUUCUAGUGGCGAACGGGUGAGUAACGCGUUGGUGAUCUGCCCCGAAGUGGGGGACAACAGUCCGAAAGGACUGCUAAUACCCCAUGUGGUUACAAGGGUUAAAGGCCUUGUAACUAAAGGAGUAAUUCGCUUCGGGAGGAGCCUGCGUCCCAUCAGCUAGUUGGUAGGGUAAUGGCCUACCAAGGCUCAGACGGGUAGGGGACCUGAGAGGGUGACCCCCCACACUGGAACUGAAACACGGUCCAGACACCUACGGGUGGCAG
rnacentral:rRNA from 1 species